rnacentral:rRNA from 1 species
GGGGAAUAUUGCGCAAUGGGGGGAACCCUGACGCAGCGACGCCGCGUGAGCGAAGAAGGUCUUCGGAUCGUAAAGCUCUGUCAUCGGGGACGAAUAAAUGACGGUACCCGAAGAGGAAGCCCCGGCUAACUACGUGCCAGCAGCCGCGGUAAUACGUAGGGGGCGAGCGUUGUCCGGAAUUACUGGGCGUAAAGGGUGCGUAGGCGGUCUGUUAAGUCAGGUGUGAAAUACCACGGCUCAACUGGGGUGUUGCACUUGAAACUGGCAGGCUAGAGUGCAGGAGAGGGAAGCGGAAUUCCUAGUGUAGCGGUGAAAUGCGUAGAUAUUAGGAGGAACACCAGUGGCGAAGGCGGCUUCCUGGCCUGUAACUGACGCUGAGGCACGAAAGCGUGGGGAGCAAAC